rnacentral:rRNA from 1 species
UACGUAGGGGGCAAGCGUUGUCCGGAUUUAUUGGGCGUAAAGAGCGUGUAGGCGGCCAGACAGGUCCGUUGUGAAAACUCGAGGCUCAACCUCGAGAUGUCGAUGGAAACCGUCUGGCUAGAGUCCGGAAGAGGAGUGUGGAAUUCCUGGUGUAGCGGUGAAAUGCGCAGAUAUCAGGAAGAACACCUAUGGCGAAGGCAGCACUCUGGGACGGUACUGACGCUGAGACGCGAAAGCGUGGGGAGCGUACAGG